rnacentral:rRNA from 1 species
CUCAGAACGAACGCUGGCGGUUGAUUAGGCAUGCAAGUCGUGCGCGAAAGGUUCCUUCGGGGGCCGAGUAGAGCGGCGAACUGGUGAGUACAAGUGAAUAACGUGCCCUUAAGUUGGGGAUAACCUCGGGAAACCGGGGCUAAUACCGAAUGGUCUCUUGAGCGUAAGGUUCAAGAGUAAAGCAGUGAUGCGCUUGAGGAUCGGUUCACCCCCCAUUAGCUUGUUGGUAGGGUAACGGCCUACCAAGGCUUCGAUGGGUAGCUGGACUGAGAGGUUGGCCAGCCACACUGGGACUGAGAUACGGCCAGACUCCUACGGGGGGCAGCAGUCUAGAGGCUUUGACAAUGCCCGAAAGGGUGAUCAAGCGACGCCGCGUGCGGGAUGAAGGGUCUCGGCCUGUAAACGCUUUUCUUUGGGACGAAGGCCCGAGUCGUGAACUUGGGAUUGACGGUACUGAGGAAUAAGCCCCGGUAACUCCGUGCAGCAGCCGCGGUAGACGGAGGGGGCAGCGUGUCGGAAUCAUGGGCGUACAGGGCUCGUAGGCGGAUCUGAAGUCUGACGUGAAUCUCACGUCACGGGAAGAGUCGUGAUACUGCAGAUCUGAAGUUCGGCAGAGGACCAUGAAUUCGGUGUAGCGGUGGAAUUGCGUAGAUUUCGGAAGGACCACCGGUUGGCAAGCGGGGCCUGGCUGAUUGGACGGCUGAAGAGGCGAAAGCUAGGGGGAGCAAACGGGGAUAAGAUUAACCCGGUAAGACUAGCCGUAAAC